GUACCAAAAAAUUAAAAAAAAUAAAAACCACAUGAAUGAGUAGAUGUAAAGGAACGAGUCACAAGGUUACACUAUCAUCCAUUCUCUGAAUUCCUCUGAGUCACAGACCAAAAUGACAGUGAUUUAUGACCCACUGACAAACGGAUUUUAGUAUAAAUAAGAAACCAGAUACCAGUUGAUGCGGAAAGAAUUAUGGGUAACACAAAAUAAUACUUGAGAUCAAAAUGACAGAGUAAUGAUCAGCAGCAAAAUACAGACUCUCUGGGACCUUGAAUCCAGACACACAGAAAAUAACAACUUGGAAAAGAGAAAAAGAAAAGCGUUAGAUCUCCAGGAAUUGGAAAGAAACUGAACAUUAGAAACUGCAGAGAAGCUGGACUAAUGGAGCACAAUGCAGAGGAAAGAAUGAAGCAAACGGGAGAGCUCACUCUGGCUCCUGGGGAGAGGAACCUAUCUCUACAGACACAAGGAAUCACAGCGGGCCACAGGCUUUGGGGAGUUCUGAGGAGUAAAAGGUCCAGUGCCACUUACUUGAACAGAGACCUCUGGGAGGAAACGAGUCUCUCGGAGGGAGGCCUUAUGGCUCAACUUACGGCUCUCUGUUCUGCAGCAAUACCUCCAGAAAGGCCCCAAGGCCUAGUCAAUUCUCUUUCUGCACACGUUUCAUGCAUCACCACGGAAUUAAACUGUAACCCUGUGCCACACCUGGACAUCUCCUGACACAAUCAGGGAAAGGCUCCAGACCCCCUUUCCAGUCAGGCCCUCGUGACCUCGUCAGAGGAGCUCCCACCCGCAAAAGAGCUCCCAAGAUGCCUUUGUAAAUCCUCGCCUCCUAACCCUAAGCUGAGGUCGCUAACCCUCCUUCUGGCUUUGCUAAGACCCCAACUCCUCUCCAGCUGUUUCCCUCUAUAUCUUAGGACUCUGCCUAAUGUAAAAUGACAAGAG
rnacentral:lncRNA from 1 species